UUGGUUCAUAAUGAAUAAGGAUAAUGUCGAAUUACCUUCUGUGCAAUAGAUAAUGCUCACUACCACCUAAUAAUUGUUCUCGCAUUGGGAUCUCUUUUGUAGCCGUGCACGGGAUGGCCACUUCGGAUCUUAGCCUAGAGGACAACAAUGACCAGAUCUACUGGCAGGGGGGAUCUCGGUUGCCUCCUCGACGACCUCUCGUCGUCCACAACAAUAUCAUUUGGGAGUAUUUGUUCUCGCAUUGGGAUCUCUUUUGUGGCCGUGCGUGGGAUGGCCACUUCAGAUCUUGGCCUAGUGGACAACGACGACCAGAUCUACCGGCAGGGAGGAUCUCGGUUGCCUCCUCAGCGACCUCUCGUCAGCCACAACCAUAUCACUGGUUAGGAGUCAAAAAUGACUAGACGAAGGGAUAAAGCAAUUGAUUUGAAUGAGCCACCACGCAGCGAACAAAGGUAUGAUAGUCUCUCCCAUGCAUGUUUAAUUUCAACAAUGACCGGUAAUUUCAGCAG